UCGAGCGAAUGGAUUGAGAGCUUGCUCUCAAGAAGUUAGCGGCGGACGGGUGAGUAACACGUGGGUAACCUGCCCAUAAGACUGGGAUAACUCCGGGAAACCGGGGCUAAUACCGGAUAACAUUUUGAACUGCAUGGUUCGAAAUUGAAAGGCGGCUUCGGCUGUCACUUAUGGAUGGACCCGCGUCGCAUUAGCUAGUUGGUGAGGUAACGGCUCACCAAGGCAACGAUGCGUAGCCGACCUGAGAGGGUGAUCGGCCACACUGGGACUGAGACACGGCCCAGACUCCUACGGGAGGCAGCAGUAGGGAAUCUUCCGCAAUGGACGAAAGUCUGACGGAGCAACGCCGCGUGAGUGAUGAAGGCUUUCGGGUCGUAAAACUCUGUUGUUAGGGAAGAACAAGUGCUAGUUGAAUAAGCUGGCACCUUGACGGUACCUAACCAGAAAGCCACGGCUAACUACGUGCCAGCAGCCGCGGUAAUACGUAGGUGGCAAGCGUUAUCCGGAAUUAUUGGGCGUAAAGCGCGCGCAGGUGGUUUCUUAAGUCUGAUGUGAAAGCCCACGGCUCAACCGUGGAGGGUCAUUGGAAACUGGGAGACUUGAGUGCAGAAGAGGAAAGUGGAAUUCCAUGUGUAGCGGUGAAAUGCGAUAUGGAGGAACACCGGCGAAGGCGACUUUCUGGUCUGUAACUGACACUGAGGCGCGAAAGCGUGGGGAGCAAACAGGAUAGAUUCCCUGGUAGUUCCCGCCGUAAACGAUGAGUGCUAAGUGGUAGAGGGUUUUCGCCCCUUAAUGCUGAAGUUAACGCCUUAAGCACUUCGCCUGGGGAGUACGGCCGCAAAGGUGAAAAUUCAAAGAAAUGACGGGGGCCCGCACCAGCGGUGGAGCAUGUGGUUUAAUUUGAAGCCACGCGAAGAACCUUUCCCGGGUUUGACAUCCUUUGGAAACCCUAGAGAUAGGGGUUUUCCCUUGGGAGCCGAGUGACAGGUGGUGCCUGGUUGUUGUCAGCUCGUGUUGUGAGAUGUUGGGUUAAAUCCCGCAACGAGCGCAACCCUUGAUUUUUGUUGCCCUCCUUAAAUUGGGCCCUUUAAGGUGGCUGCCGGUGGCCAACCGGAGGAAGGUGGGGAAGACGUCAAAUCAUCAUGCCCCUUUUGACCUGGGGUACCCCCGUGGUUCAAUGGGCGGUACAAAGAGGUGCAAGACCCCGAGGGGGAGGUAAUUUCAUAAAACCGUUUUCAGUUUGGAUUGUUGGGUGCAACUUGCCUACCUGAAGCUGGAAUCGCUUGUAAU
rnacentral:rRNA from 1 species